AAUACCGCAUAAUGUCUACGGACCAAAGUGUGGGACCUUCGGGCCACAUGCUAUCGGAUGCGCCUACGUGGGAUUAGCUAGUUGGUGAGGUAAUGGCUCACCAAGGCGACGAUCUCUAGCUGGUUUGAGAGGAUGAUCAGCCACACUGGAACUGAGACACGGUCCAGACUCCUACGGGAGGCAGCAGUGGGGAAUAUUGGACAAUGGGCGCAAGCCUGAUCCAGCCAUGCCGCGUGUGUGAAGAAGGCCUUCGGGUUGUAAAGCACUUUCAGCGAGGAGGAAGGGAUGUAUGUUAAUAGCAUGCAUUUUUGACGUUACUCGCAGAAGAAGCACCGGCUAACUCUGUGCCAGCAGCCGCGGUAAUACAGAGGGUGCAAGCGUUAAUCGGAAUUACUGGGCGUAAAGCGCACGUAGGCGGUUUUUUAAGUCAGAUGUGAAAGCCCCGGGCUCAACCUGGGAAUUGCAUUUGAAACUGGGGGAACUAGAGUGUGUGAGAGGGGGGUAGAAUUCCAAGUUGUAGCGGUGAAAUGGCGUAGAGAAU
rnacentral:rRNA from 1 species